UUUAAGAAAUUGGACAUCGUUAUGAUAGUUAGGCAGAGGUUGUAGUUGUUUUCCAAGGGAUCAUCGUAGCUGAGCAGUGCCCCCAAUAGCAAGGGCCCCGGCAGGAACAUGAUGAUGCAGGAAACCGUCGCCCAACUAAAGUAGUUGCCUUCGCUGAGAUGCAACGCUCCACAAAUUCGCCAGGCCUGCGAUUGACCAACCCCUCUUGGAAGAAACUGUCAGUGUCAGUGUCGGAUGAACAACAAUAAAGACAUUUACAUAUGGCAAGGGUGUCUGACACAGACCCAACCCCAGAGUGCCACCCCAGUACCUCCCACCCUCCAUGCGGCAAUUCAAGGGCAAGCUAAACAUACCAAUUUACGUAGGUCGGGAGUAUAGAGAUUUGGACGGCGAUAAAAGCAUCCGGGACACGGCCCGCGACCUCCAGCCGCCGACCCCUGUCCCGUCCUUCUGGCCACGCCCCUGGCCUGCGCCAUGGGCUCAGGGCUUCUGGUCCGUGCCCGAGCCCCAUGGCAUAUGUCUGCGAUGCUCAUUAAGGGCGCACAGCGUGGCGUAGCUAAUGUGACAACAACGUGGGGCGAAUCCUUGCGGACGGAGGGUAGACAGUCCCGCGGGGAUUUUCAUUUGACUUUGCAGUCAGUAGCCACCAUUUUUUCCUUUCCCGGCAUCCUUUCGGACGCGGGUAUACGCUACAAGAAUGUAAAGCACAUCUCUAACUCAAAAUUUAAAAUUUGUACUCAAAACAGCGACUAUACGCUUUGACUCAAAAUGAUAUCUGAAGAAGAAUUCUGAAAUAAUAAAAUACCUUACCAAACUUCUAAAAACAUAA